UGUGCAGCUUUCGGAGGAGAAAUGCUGUCAAGGUGGGGAAGGUGGAGACGAGCUGUCGGAGCAGCUGUCAGAGCGUCGGCGCAUGGUGGCUCAGCUGAGCGAGGAACUGCGCGAGGCGAACCUGGAGGCGCUUGCGUUGGCCGAUGCCGACCACAAGCAUUGGCUCGAGGCCUCUGGUGGCUUUUUCAAUCGACCUGGGAGCACGCGCAAGAUUGUUGGCUCCCCGCGGCAGCUGGAAAAUGCAGUGCCCACAAGCAAGAAUCCCAAUGGUGUCUGGGUCUGACUCAAGCCUGCAGCAGUGCCAACAGCACUGUUGCACUCUCAACUAGGACAAAAUGUGUGAUCCUGGAAGCCAAGCCAAACAUGGAGGCAGCAUUGCAGUGAAAAUGGUGCUAACUGACUGCUGUGUUCACCUUGUGUGAGCCUUGUUGUGGACAUUGCCUGCUUUGGUUGUUUAUCCAUGGUGGGACCAAACCUUCAUCAUGCUGAUUGCACUAUGGAUUGUGUUGGAGCACAAACUUCUCUGAGCAUGUCAGGUUGACUCUGUUUUUUCACUCGCCAUAGGCAACAGUCAAACCUGUAAAUUUGUUUUGCUUUUACUUAGGACACAAGCAUCUGUGUGAUGUGUGCAAUGGUGUGGCGCAGAUUGUUUUAAAGCAGUCUGUGAUAGAACUGCUUUUGAAAAAGUGUUGCUGCAUCAUCCUCAAGUACGGCCUUGGAACGACAGUGGCAACACAAAUCUGGUCAUAACCACAAACUUGUGGACUCCUAUGGUCUUCCAAGCAUUGCUGACAUGGUUUCGAGGACCACUGCACAUAAGAUUGUGCAUGGCAAGGAUCUGCAGGAGCUGAGAUAUCGCCACAAACUAAUGCUCAAGCCAGUGUUGACCAACCUUUUAUUGUUCCAAGUGUUUGUCGUAUUUGAUGCCUCUUAUUUUUUUUGGCCACCUGGAGCCUUUGUAUAGCAGCUCUGAGUGAUAUCUACAAAUUGUGGCAGCCAAGGGUAUUUAAUAUUGGCAAGUGCUAAUGUUCUAAAUUGCAAAAAUGUGGAUAGUGACGCUGAGUGAGCAAGUCCACAGACAAACGUCAUUGUAAUUCCAAGUCUCUUUUCUCUUUCUCAAGUGUUGAAUUUUACUACAUCUUGCUUUUUGAUGCACUUAUUCCAGCCACUCACUCGUGGACAGUCAACUUCCGUUAAUUCGAGCCAGACGGUGCCAACAAAACUGAUCAAAUUAUUUGGCAGGUCUAAUUAAACAGUAUGUAAAAAACAAACAUCACAUUUGUCCGAUUCUAACAUGCCCACUUUCUAUGUGUCUAAAGUAGAAAACUAGCGUAGGAAUGACAUCACAGCUUCUAAACCAAGUAGAAAUCUAAUGCACACCCAAUUGCCUGCCAAGAAAAAUGGACAAGGGUCUAACAUGGGUUGUACAAUCUCGGCCGGUUUCAUAAAAUUAGCUUUGCUGCGCAGUUUUUAAGGUCACCAGCGUUAAAUGGUAAAGCACAAAUGUCACAAAGGCAGUUUGGUUUCAAAUACGCUGUCACAGUGCUGGCAAUUUUCGGCCCAAUUUGGGAAAAAAUAAAGCCACAUUAGAAUUAGGUGCUGCAAUCAGACGUUUGAGAGGUUUAGCUUGUCCGGUAAUCGGGUAAACGCGAGCAGACCGGGCGUUGGGGCCGGAACUGUUAACGUGAGCGGCCUGUAUGGUGCUACCACCUGGUGGCGCAGAAAUCAAACACAAAAAACAGCUAAUAUUGCAGUAAACAUGUGUAUUCUACUUCUCUGCCGGUGUAAAUUUUCGCUGUCACAUUUACACUAGCAGCAGAGUAGAAUACACUUGGUUACUGCAAUAUUAGCUGUUUUUUGUCUGUUUGAUUUCUGCGCCACCAGGUGGUAGCACCAUACAGGCCGCUCACGUUUACGGUUCCGGCAAAACGCCCCAACGCCCGGUCCGCUCGCGUUUACCCGAUUACCGGACAAGCUAAACCUCUCUACUGUCAGCUACGGCUAUUGCUUGGAAAUUAUCCAGCAAAGGCCAGUUUUAGGAUUGAAAUAACGAAAGUUUGGGCCCACAGAAAUGCAUGGGCACCAGCCAGGACCUUUGGUCAGGAUCAAAUUGAUGGAAGUCUACUGUAAUGCCGUGGCCACGAGGGCACAGGAAGGAAAACUGAGUUGUGGUUUUUGAAAAGAAUGAAGUUCGUAUCAGAAGUCGGAGCAUUUGCUAUUUGUUGUAUAAUGCACUUUUAUUGUUCAGCACUGUAAAAUUUAAAUUAUGAGAAAUAUCAUUCUUCAUGGAUGCAGAUACAGAAUGGGCACCAAUUUAACAUAAAGGAGAGGACAAAAGGGUGCGGGGGUAAAAGUCUGUCACGGCAGUCAUGCGUGCUAACGAUUAGUAAUGCGGCUGUAUUUGUCAGUUUUGCUAAAGUAAGAUUGCAUGUGGGCGAUGAUUGACUGCAACGAGUGACUGCGCAGCGGGCAUGCAUCAGCUCCUGCUAUUAUGUUGGAUCUGCCGCAAAGCCUCCUCACCUGAACUUGCUGCAUUUUUGAGCAUGCAUUGUAUUCGGAGCAUGUUGGUGCAUGCGAGAGGUUCAAUAAAAAGAGAGUUGGA